GCCUUGUUAGCUCAGUUGGUUUAGAACGUUUGGUUUUUAACCAAAAUGUCGUUGGUUCGACCCCCACGCAGGGCG
rnacentral:tRNA from 1 species